rnacentral:rRNA from 1 species
UGGCGGCGUGCCUAACACAUGCAAGUCGAACGCUCUCUCUCGCAAGGGAGAGGGAGUGGCGGACGGGUGAGUAACACGUGGAGAUCUGCCUCCGGGUGGGGAAUACCACCGGGAAACCGGUGACAAGACCGCAUAGCCUCGGGGAGACCCGAGGAAAGCCUCCGUAAGGAGGCGCCGGGAGAGGACUCUGCGCCCGAUUAGCCAGUUGGUGGGGUAACGGCCUACCAAAGCGACGAUCGGUAGCUGGUCUGAGAGGACGAGCAGCCACACUGGGAUUGAGAACGGCCCAGACUCCUACGGGGGGCAGCAGUGAGGAAUUUUCCGCAAUGGACGAAAGUCUGACGGAGCAACGCCGCGUGCAGGACGACGGCCUUCGGGUUGUAAACUGCUUUUCCCAGGGACGAGGAGACAAGGACGGUACCUGGGGAGCAAGCCCCGGCUAACUACGUGCCAGCAGCCGCGGUAAUACGUAGGGGGCGAGCGUUGUCCGGAGUUACUGGGCGUAAAGCGUCCGCAGGCGGUGGCUCAAGUUCGAGGUGACAGUGCGCGGCUUCACUGCGCAAGGUUCUCGAAAAC